rnacentral:tRNA from 1 species
GCCGACAUAGCUCAGUUGGUAGAGCAACUGAUUCGUAAUCAGUAGGUCGGAGGUUCAACUCCUCUUGUCGGCACCA